rnacentral:misc_RNA from 1 species
UCCUAGUUUCCUAGGCAGUCCCAUCAGAGUGCUUUCUUACGAAAUAGCAACUAAUGGUAGGAGUUGCGCUCGUUAGAGGACUCAACCAAACAUCUCACGACACGAGCUGACGACAGCCAUGCAGCACCUGUGCAAUUGUCCAGAUCAAAGACCUGGAAGAUCGUAUUUCUACGACUGUCAAAAGCAUGUCAAGCCUAGGUAAGGUUCCUCGCGUAUUGUCGAAUUAAACCACAUGUUCCACCGCUUGUGCGGACCCCCGUCAAUUCCUUUAAGUUUUAGUCUUGCGACCGUACUGCCCAGGCGGAUCACUUAUCGCGUUAGCUACGACACUAUUUUUGCAAAGCAAAAAUAACGUCUAGUGAUCAUCGUUUACAGCGUGGACUAC